rnacentral:misc_RNA from 1 species
UUUCCGUAGGUGAACCUGCGGAAGGAUCAUUAUUGUAUUAGCGAGGUUCGAGGGCUGUCGCUCACCCGAAAGUUCGUGCACUCCCUAGUGCCCUCACACACCUCCAUCUCACCCCUAUGUGCGCCACCGCCUGGGUCCCCCUUGGGCUUGUUCGGGGGGCGGCUUACGGUUUGUCUCAACCUUUGUAUUCAGUGUAAAAUGUAUUUUUUUUUUUUGCGAUAUCUCUUUCAUUACAACUUUCAACAAAGGAUCUCUUUGCGCACGCAUCGAUGAAUAACC